UCUGUGGAGAGUUUGAUCCUGGCUCAGGACGAACGCUGGCGGCGUGCUUAACACAUGCAAGUCGAGCGGUAAGGCCUGCUUCGGUGGGUACACGAGCGGCGAACGGGUGAGUAACACGUGGGUGACCUGCCCCGCACUUCGGGAUAAGCCUGGGAAACUGGGUCUAAUACCGGAUAUUACACAUGGUCUCGCAUGGGGUUGUGUGGAAAGUUUUUUCGGUGUGGGAUGGGCCCGCGGCCUAUCAGCUUGUUGGUGGGGUGAUGGCCUACCAAGGCGGCGACGGGUAGCCGGCCUGAGAGGGCGACCGGCCACACUGGGACUGAGAUACGGCCCAGACUCCUACGGGAGGCAGCAGUGGGGAAUAUUGCGCAAUGGGCGGAAGCCUGACGCAGCGACGCCGCGUGGGGGAUGACGGCCUUCGGGUUGUAAACCUCUUUCGCUAUCGACGAAGCCUUUGGGUGACGGUAGGUAGAGAAGAAGCACCGGCCAACUACGUGCCAGCAGCCGCGGUAACACGUAGGGUGCGAGCGUUGUCCGGAAUUAUUGGGCGUAAAGAGCUCGUAGGCGGUGUGUCGCGUCGGCCGUGAAAACUUGCA
rnacentral:rRNA from 1 species